CUACGGGAUGCUGCAGUAGGGAAUCUUCCACAAUGGGCGAAAGCCUGAUGGAGCAACGCCGCGUGAGUGAAGAAGGUUUUCGGAUCGUAAAACUCUGUUGUAAGGGAAGAACAAGUACAGUAGUAACUGGCUGUACCUUGACGGUACCUUAUUAGAAAGCCACGGCUAACUACGUGCCAGCAGCCGCGGUAAUACGUAGGUGGCAAGCGUUGUCCGGAAUUAUUGGGCGUAAAGCGCGCGCAGGCGGUCCUUUAAGUCUGAUGUGAAAGCCCACGGCUCAACCGUGGAGGGUCAUUGGAAACUGGGGGACUUGAGUACAGAAGAGGAAAGUGGAAUUCCAAGUGUAGCGGUGAAAUGCGUAGAGAUUUGGAGGAACACCAGUGGCGAAGGCGACUUUCUGGUCUGUAACUGACGCUGAGGCGCGAAAGCGUGGGGAGCAAACAGGAUUAGAUACCCCAGUAGUC
rnacentral:rRNA from 1 species